AAUAAGCCAUUGACUUAAAACAACGCUAGGUACAAAAAGCGUAUGAAGCUUGUGAGUAACGAAAAGCCACGACUGGGGAGGGCACAAAAAUCUCUUUCGACAUUGCACAAAAUGUAGGCUGGCGAGAACAGCUGUCCCCCAAAACAAAAUCACACAGUUCAAGACUUCAUUUCUUCAUCAUCAUCAUCAUAUAUACGCACAAAUAUACUGUGUCAGGAAAUACCUGUAUAUUCUCACACCACAUAUCGAGUAAGCCGUAUCUACAUACGUGUGUGGGGCAUAUCACGUUGUAUCCACGAUACAACAGUCACUACGACAGUUCUGAGGGACAACCUCGCCCGCGCCAACCGGUCUUCAAAUAAAAAAUGGGUGAAAAAAUUCUCUCUUAUCUUGCACGACGUUCUCUUGUAUAGAUACACAUUAAAUAUACACUACACCAAAACGGCUUUUCUAUCUGAUUUCUCACCUAUUCAACAUCCUAGGGAAUCGGAGCGCUAUCUAUAGCCACACCAUGGUCGUACUUGGUUAUAUAGAUAAUAUACAGGUGUCUAAGCAGCAUAACCAGAGUGCUGGAAGGAUCCCAGCCACAGAGAGAGAAAUGGCACUAGUGCAUUUACACUUGGGGGGAGGGGGGCGGAUGUCACAUGCGACCUUGAAAGACAAUUUCCGAUAGAAAAACAUACAUAUAUAUAUAUAGAGAGA